rnacentral:lncRNA from 1 species
GUGAGUUCUUUCCUUGCUUAUAUCUCUAUUUCAGGAUGUUCCUUUGCAAAAGAAUUGGGGAGAGCCAUGUUUCUCCAUGAUAGAUGUGAAACACUUCCAUCUUCGUAUGUGGCUCAGAGAAAGAGAGAAAAAUGCUGCUGCUGCUAAAUGUUAGGAAGGACUACAGCUCAGGGAAAGACCAUGGGCUUCUCACUGCCUGCAACACCACGAGGAGCCUGCUAAGUGAGUGCAGGGGGACAACAAGUGAGCUACUCUGGGAUGAUGCCAUGGGUUCUUCUUCACGGCUGUGGAAUAAGGUUCAGCUGACAAGCAAGGCUGGGGGAGCUGUGGAAGAAAAGUGCCCAGAGGAGAACAAGGGAUACAGUGCAGUCAGCUGGAGGUUUUACUGGAAUACACACACACACACACAGGGUUGAAAGGUGAGAGGCUUUUUAAAACUUCAUUUUUGGGUCAGCUGUUAGAUGCAGGGAAUACACUUUUUUAAUAAUAAAGAAAACAAUCCCAGAAUCA